rnacentral:rRNA from 1 species
AGCAUAUCAAUAAGCGGAGGAAAAGAAACCAACAGGGAUUGCCCUAGUAACGGCGAGUGAAGCGGCAACAGCUCAAAUUUGAAAUCUGGCUCUUUUAGAGUCCGAGUUGUAAUUUGCAGAGGGCGCUUUGGCUUUGGCAGCGGUCCAAGUUCCUUGGAACAGGACGUCACAGAGGGUGAGAAUCCCGUACGUGGUCGCUGGCUAUUGCCGUGUAAAGCCCCUUCGACGAGUCGAGUUGUUUGGGAAUGCAGCUCUAAAUGGGAGGUACAUUUCUUCUAAAGCUAAAUAUUGGCCAGAGACCGAUAGCGCACAAGUAGAGUGAUCGAAAGAUGAAAAGCACUUUGGAAAGAGAGUCAAACAGCACGUGAAAUUGUUGAAAGGGAAGCGCUUGCAGCCAGACUUGCUUACAGUUGCUCAUCCGGGUUUUUACCCGGUGCACUCUUCUGUAGGCAGGCCAGCAUCAGUUUGGGCGGUAGGAUAAAGGUCUCUGUCACGUACCUCCUUUCGGGGAGGCCUUAUAGGGGAGACGACAUACUACCAGCCUGGACUGAGGUCCGCGCAUCUGCUAGGAUGCUGGCGUAAUGGCUGUAAGCGGCCCGUCUUGAAACACGGACCAAGGAGUCUAACAUCUAUGCGAGUGUUUGGGUGUCAAGCCCGAGCGCGUAAUGAAAGUGAACGGAGGUGGGAACCCGCAAGGGUGCACCAUCGACCGAUCCUGAUGUCUUCGGAAGGAUUUGAGUAAGAGCAUGGCUGUUGGGACCCGAAAGAUGGUGAACUAUGCUUGAAUAGGGUGAAGCCAGAGGAAACUCUGGUGGAGGCUCGCAGCGGUUCUGACGUGCAAAUCGAUCGUCAAAUUUGGGCAUAGGGGCGAAAGACUAAUCGAACUAUCUAGUAGCUGG